rnacentral:rRNA from 1 species
UAGGGGAGCGUUCUGUAAGCCGAUGAAGGUGUAUUGAGAAGUAUGCUGGAGGUAUCAGAAGUGCGAAUGCUGACGUGAGUAACGACAAAACGGGUGAAAAACCCGUUCGCCGAAAGACCAAGGGUUCCAGUCCAACGUUAAUCGGGGCUGGGUGAGUCGACCCCUAAGGCGAGGCCGAAAGGCGUAGUCGAUGGGAAAAUGGUUAAUAUUCCAUUACUUCUGUGUAAUGCGAUGAGAGGACGGAGAAGGCUAAAUCAGCCUGGCGUUGGUUGUCCAGGUGAAAGGAUGUAGGCAUGUAUCUUAGGCAAAUCCGGGGUACUCUAUGCUGAGAUCUGAUAGCAAGCUGUACUUGUACAGCGAAGUGGUUGAUGCCAUGCUUCCAGGAAAAGUCUCUAAGCUUCAGUUACACAGGAAUCGUACCCGAAACCGACACAGGUGGUCAGGUCGAGUAGACCAAGGCGCUUGAGAGAACUCUGCUGAAGGAACUAGGCAAAAUGGUACCGUAACUUCGGGAGAAGGUACGCUGUUGUUGGUGAUGGAACUCGCUUCCUGAGCUGACGACAGCCGCAGAAACCAGGCCGCUGCAACUGUUUAUUAAAAACAUAGCACUCUGCAAACACGAAAGUGGACGUAUAGGGUGUGAUGCCUGCCCGGUGCUGGAAGGUUAAUUGAUGGGGUUAGCGUAAGCGAAGCUCUUGAUCGAAGCCCCAGUAAACGGCGGCCGUAACUAUAACGGUCCUAAGGUAGCGAAAUUCCUUGUCGGGUAAGUUCCGACCUGCACGAAUGGCAUAAUGAUGGCGGCGCUGUCUCCAGCAGAGGCUCAGUGAAAUCGAAAUCGCUGUGAAGAUGCAGUGUACCCGCGGCUAGACGGAAAGACCCCGUGAACCUUUACUGCAGCUUGACACUGAACUUUGACCUUACUUGUGUAGGAUAGGUGGGAGGCUUUGAAGCUGGAACGCUAGUUCCAGUGGAGCCGUCCUUGAAAUACCACCCUGGUAAUGUUGAGGUUCUAACUCUGUCCCGUGAUCCGGGACGAGGACCGUGUCUGGUGGGUAGUUUGACUGGGGCGGUCUCCUCCUAAAGAGUAACGGAGGAGUACGAAGGUGCGCUCAGCGUGGUCGGAAAUCACGCGUAGAGUAUAAAGGCAAAAGCGCGCUUAACUGCGAGACCCACAAGUCGAGCAGGUACGAAAGUAGGUCUUAGUGAUCCGGUGGUUCUGUAUGGAAGGGCCAUCGCUCAACGGAUAAAAGGUACUCUGGGGAUAACAGGCUGAUACCGCCCAAGAGUUCAUAUCGACGGCGGUGUUUGGCACCUCGAUGUCGGCUCAUCUCAUCCUGGGGCUGAAGCAGGUCCCAAGGGUAUGGCUGUUCGCCAUUUAAAGAGGUACGCGAGCUGGGUUUAGAACGUCGUGAGACAGUUCGGUCCCUAUCUACCGUGGGCGCUGGAAAUUUGAGAGGAUCUGCUCCUAGUACGAGAGGACCAGAGUGGACGAACCUCUGGUGUACCGGUUGUGACGCCAGUCGCAUCGCCGGGUAGCUAUGUUCGGAAGGGAUAACCGCUGAAAGCAUCUAAGCGGGAAGCCUACCUCAAGAUAAGAUUUCCCUAGGACUUUAUGUCCUCUAAAGAGCCGUUCGAGACUAGGACGUUGAUAGGUUGGAUGUGGAAGCAUAGUGAUAUGUGAAGCUGACCAAUACUAAUUGCUCGUGAGGCUUGACUA